CAAAAAACGAUGACGGGGAAGAAGGUUGUGGGAAUUGCUCAGCGAGCCGGGGGACGGUGCAAGCCCGGCCAAGGAAACAGCCGGGCCGCCCCGGAGUGCAAGCCGAAACAACAGUAAGCUUUGCCGGUUCUUCACCGUUACAGAAGUCCGAGUGGGUUGCCGCCGUCAUGUACCGGCAGCCAAUGAGGGUGGUACCACGGAUACUAAAACUCCGUCCCUUUA
rnacentral:ncRNA from 1 species